UGCAAGUGUGUGCACACAUGAUAUAUGAUGAAGAAGUGAGGUGUGUAUGAGUGUGUUUAUUCUAAUGGGUUUAAGAGUGUAGCUUCAUUGCUCAUUUCAUUUGUGCUGAAGAGUUGCUAUGAGAGUCCUAGUCCUAGUCCUAGUCCUAAAGAGAGAAUUUUGCUAAGUCAAGAAGUGGGUUUGCUUUCUUUAAUUGCUGGAGCUCUUUAUUAUGUAUUGCUGAGAAAGGAAUAGAGAGAGACCCGAGAGGGAGAGGAAGAGAUUCAAAUCUUGGAACUCUAUGUGCCGGAAUGGUGAAGGAAAGCAAGGGGAAAACUUGGAAAAAGUGAAGAAAAGAAGGAGCUCAUGGAAUUUCAACAGUUAAAGCUUUUGGUCACGCGCUAUUGUUUGCCUGAUCUGCUUCUACAGCUAUCUGUGAUCAGGUACGUGACCAAGCCUAGAGCUUCUGCCUUGAUUCUAUUUUGUCAGCCAACCUAUGUGCCUCCCGUGGAGGUUCCGGAUAUGUCUAGUGGCUAUGUCUAAGUGCAUAAAGAUCAAGUUUUGUUUUUUUGUUUGGUUAAACAAGUCUUUGCUUAUUUUGUAAAUAGGGUUGAGUCCCUUUUUGUCUAUUCUAUAUAUAUAUGAUGACGUAA